GCGAUACGUCUGCUGCAUUUUUUAUAAAUACAGUAUGCUCAUGAAUGUAACAUUUCAUAUGAAGACAAGGUUUUCUUUUCGUUCACAUGUACCAAUAUACCAUCCUGAUGGAAAAACGAAGUGGGAUUACCUUGCUGCUGUUGCUGUGUCAACAUGCAUGUUUCCUCUCUGCAAGUAAUCCAAUAAAACAAACAGUGGCCUGUGAAGGACAAACUGCAUCCCUCAGUUGUGACACGGGAUUCAUACAUGUCAGUGAUGCCAACUAUGGAAGCAAUGAUGGCAGUUUAUGCUCUGCUGGACAACGACGUGAGUGGCUCACAAAUGUUCACUGCUUCCAAAAAACAUCCCUCCAAACGAUGACCACAAGAUAGAGGUGUUAUUGCUAUUCAUCACGCCAAUUAUGGACGCCGGGAUGUGGCACCCUGCCUUGAUAAAUCAGCAGAUUGUUAUUAUCCUCAGACUGCCAGUUUAAGUUCCAGGUGCAAUGGAAAAAGGUCUUGUCUUCUAACUGCUUCAAAUUCAGUGUUCUCUGAUCUGUGUUACGGUAUCAGGAAGUACCUGGAAGUGACAUACUACUGCAAAUUAGAAUAGCAUGAUUUACAUCAGUCGAUGAGGAAACGGCCUGGAAGAGCAGAAGCAGCAUAUCCUUUUCUUUAGCAAUACCAUUGCUGUUUCUCUUAUGAUUCUCUUUUUUCCUUAAAUCUGCUUUAAAUUUGUU